AUACGUAGGGGGCUAGCGUUGUCCGGAAUCAUUGGGCGUAAAGCGCGUGUAGGCGGUCCGGUAAGUCCGCUGUGAAAGUCGGGGGCUCAACCCUCGAAUGCCGGUGGAUACUGUCGGGCUAGAGUACGGAAGAGGCGAGUGGAAUUCCUGGUGUAGCGGUGAAAUGCGCAGAUAUCAGGAGGAACACCAAUUGCGAAGGCAGCUCGCUGGGACGUUACUGACGCUGAGACGCGAAAGCGUGGGGAGCAAACA
rnacentral:rRNA from 1 species